GACGAACGCUGGCGGCGUGCUUAACACAUGCAAGUCGAACGGAGUGGCGAACGGGUGAGUAAUACGUGGGAGACCGGCCUUGCAAGUCGGGAUAAGCUUGGGAAACUGGGCCUAAUACGCGAUAGUGCAAGAUGGGCUCGCGGGCUAUCAGCUUGUUGGUGGGGUAUUGGCCUACCAAGGCGUCGACGGCUAGCCGGCCUGAGAGGGUGUACGGCCACAAUGGGACUGAGGUACGGCUCAGAGGCGUACAGUAGGCAGCAGGGGGGAGUAUUGCGCAGUGGGCGGGAGCGUGAUGCAGAGGCGCCGCGUGGGUGAUGAAGUCCUUGGGGUUAGAAACGCCUUUCGACAGAUACGCGGUACCUGUAUAAGAAGCACCGGCUAACUACGUGCCAGCAGCCGCGGUAAUUC
rnacentral:rRNA from 1 species